rnacentral:rRNA from 1 species
GCUAAGACUGGAUAGGAAGAAAUAAGGCAUCUUUUUUCUUUUAAAAGACCUAGUGAUAGGUAUACUUUAGGAGGGGCUUGCGCCAUAUUAGUUAGUUGGUAGGGUAAUGGCCUACCAAGACGAUGAUGUGUAGCUGGACUGAGAGGUUGAACAGCCACAUUGGGACUGAGACACGGCCCAAACUCCUACGGGAGGCAGCAGUAGGGAAUUUUCGGCAAUGGAGGAAACUCUGACCGAGCAACGCCGCGUGAACGACGAAGUACUUUGGUAUGUAAAGUUCUUUUAUCAAGGAAGAAAAGCAAGUGGUGAACCAUUUGUUUGCCGGUACUUGAUGAAUAAGCCCCGGCUAAUUAUGUGCCAGCAGCCGCGGUAAGACAUAAGGGGCAAGUGUUAUCCGGAAUUAUUGGGCGUAAAGGGUGCGUAGGCGGUCUAGUAAGUCAGUGGUGUAAUGGCAACGCUCAACGUUGUCCGGCUAUUGAAACUGCUAAACUUGAGUUAGAUAGAGGCGAGUGGAAUUCCAUGUGUAGCGGUAAAAUGCGUAAAUAUAUGGAGGAACACCAGAGGCGUAGGCGGCUCGCUGGGUCUUAACUGACGCUGAGGCACGAAAGCGUGGGGAGCAAACAGGAUUAGAUACCCUGGUAGUCCACGCCGUAAACGAUGAGUACUAAGUGUCGGGUUAAACCGGUACUGAAGUUAACACAUUAAGUACUCCGCSUGAGUAGUACGUACGCAAGUAUGAAACUUAAAGGAAUUGACGGGACUCCGCACAAGCGGUGGAUCAUGUUGUUUAAUUCGAAGAUACCCGAAAAACCUUACCAGGUCUUGACAUGUUUUUGCGAAACGGUAGUAAUAUCGUGGAGGUUAUCAGAAACACAGGUGGUGCAUGGUUGUCGUCAGCUCGUGUCGUGAGAUGUUAGGUUAAGUCCUAAAACGAGCGAAACCCUUAUCGUUAGUUGCCAGCACGUUAUGGUGGGGACUUUAACGAGACUGCCAGUGAUAAAUUGGAGGAAGGUGAGGAUCACGUCAAAUCAGCAUGCCCCUUAUGACCUGGGCUACAAACGUGAUACAAUGGCUGUUACAAAGGGUAGCUGAAACGCAAGUUCUUGGCCAAUCCCCAAAAACAGUCUCAGUCCGGAUUGAAGUCUGCAACUCGACUUCAUGAAGUUGGAAUCGCUAGUAAUCGCGAAUCAGCAUGUCGCGGUGAAUACGUUCUCGGGGUUUGUACACACCGCCCGUCA